rnacentral:rRNA from 1 species
GUACACACCGCCCGUCUCACCAUGGGAGUGGGUUUCACCAGAAGUGGGUAGCUUAACCUUUCGGGGAUGGCGCUCACCACGGUGAGAUUCAUGACUGGGGUGAAGUCGUAACAAGGUAGCCGUAGGUGAACCUGCAGAAGGAUCA